UGCGCAGAGGUGAUUUAUCGUGAGCUCUGCGGGGCCUGCCGAGGAAGGGAGACUGGACACAUGGACUGGUAUUAGACAGAUCUGUUCAUCACCUGUGAAGGCUGGAGGCUAAAUAUCUGGGGCAAGGACAUAGACGCUUUGGAAGACGUGUCAAAAGAUUUGCGGGCGUGUUUGAAAGUGCCCUGGAUGAUGCUGAUGAGCUGGUCCUGCCCUCUGUACCACACUGGAGACUUUCUGAUGACAACAUUAAGAAUGAAACCUGAGGGUUCCUGAUAGUACCACUGGUGAGUUUAUUAGGGGGAAAGCCCAGCUCUAAGGGUCGCACGUUAUUUGAAUGACAGCUUGAACCAGGACAGCCAUCAGCAUCAAGUUCAUUCCAGAGGGAACUUAAUGUGUACACCAGCUCAAAUAAACGUCUGUUCCAUCUGUUGGUGGGAACAGCAAAUGUGAAGGGUAGUGCACACAGGA
rnacentral:lncRNA from 1 species